GUCCACGCCGUAAACGUUGGGCACUAGGUGUGGGGCUCUAUCAACGGGCUCCGUGCCGUAGCUAACGCAUUAAGUGCCCCGCCUGGGGAGUACGGCCGCAAGGCUAAAACUCAAAGGAAUUGACGGGGGCCCGCACAAGCGGCGGAGCAUGUGGCUUAAUUCGAUGCAACGCGAAGAACCUUACCUGGGUUGAACUAUGCAGGAAAAAGCCGUAGAGAUACGGUGUCCUUCGGGGCCUGCGAUAGGUGGUGCAUGGCUGUCGU
rnacentral:rRNA from 1 species